rnacentral:lncRNA from 1 species
UGUAAUUGUGAUCUGUUUGCCAGAACCAAGGGGUCUUUCUGUGGAAACCUUCACGAACAAUCGUUGUUUUUUGAUGGUUUUUCCGCUUCUCACCGCUGCUCUUUCCACACCUCCGGAUAUCUGAUGCCAAAUCGUCGCAUGUUUCCUUAUUUCUUCGAUAAUUGAGUUGACUAUCUUUGUGGCAUCGAUUGUACAAGUUCGCGAAGAGGCUGGACGAGUGGAAUGAGGGAAAGCGGCUC